GUGAGUCAUCGAAUCUUUGAACGCACAUUGCGCCCCUUGGUUAUUCCGAAGGGCAUGCCUGUUCGAGCGUCAUUAUCACCCCUCAAGCCCCGGCUUGAUGUUGGACUUUAGUUAUAGCGUUGUCUAUCAACUGGUCUCAAAGAUAGUGACGGCGCCCCAGAGGGAACCGGGUACGAGGAGCUUUUUACGAAGCAUGUGCCUGGGAGGACUCUGAUGGGCGACGGUCUUGUUAUACUUUUUACCUAAGUGUUGACCUCAAAUCAGGUAGGACUACCCGCUGAACUUAAGCAUAUCAAUAAG
rnacentral:misc_RNA from 1 species